rnacentral:rRNA from 1 species
UACGUAGGGUGCGAGCGUUGUCCGGAAUUAUUGGGCGUAAAGGGCUCGUAGGCGGUUUGUCGCGUCGGGAGUGAAAACCUACAGCUUAAUUGUGGGCUUGCUUUCGAUACGGGCAGACUAGAGGUAUGCAGGGGAGAACGGAAUUCCUGGUGUAGCGGUGAAAUGCGCAGAUAUCAGGAGGAACACCGGUGGCGAAGGCGGGUCUCUGGGCCGAUACUGACGCUGAGGAGCGAAAGCGUGGGGAGCAAACAGG